CGCCUGAGUGAACAAUUUAACGGCCGCGGUAUCCUAACCGUGCAAAGGUAGCAUAAUCAUUUGUCUACUAAUUAUAGACCAGUAUGAAAGGCAAAAUGAGGGUUUGGCUGUCUCUUAUAAUAGAUCAAUUAAACUGAUCCCCCAGUAAAAAAGCUGGAAUUAUUACAUAAGACCAGAAGACCCUGUGAAGCUUAAACUAUACUAUUAAACCCCAUAAUAGCUACUUUCGGUUGGGGCGACCUUGGAAAAAAAAAGAACUUCCAAACCAUGAUUACAUCACAAAAGGCCAACAAGCCACUAACGACCCAGUAUAUCUGAUUAUUGAACCAAGUUACUCCAGGGAUAACAGCGCAAUCCUCUUCAAGAGCCCAUAUCAAAAAGAGGGUUUACGACCUCGAUGUUGGAUCAGGACAUCCUGGUGGUGCAGCCGCUAUCAAGGGUUCGUUUGUUCAACGAUUAAUGUCCUACGUGAUCUG
rnacentral:rRNA from 1 species